AAGCCACGAGGCAGAGCGAACCCCAAAAAGACCGUCCCAGUUCGGAUCGCAGGCUGCAACCCGCCUGCGUGAAGUCGGAAUCGCUAGUAAUCGCGGAUCAGCAUGCCGCGGUGAAUACGUUCCCGGGCCUUGUACACACCGCCCGUCACACCAUGAGAGUCGGGAACACCCGAAGUCCGUAGCCUAACCGCAAGGAGGGCGCGGCCGAAGGUGGGUUCGAUAAUUGGGGUGAAGUCGUAACAAGGUAAC
rnacentral:rRNA from 1 species